AAGAUUGCACCACUGCACUCCAGCCUGGGUGACAGAGCGAGACCCUGCCUCAAAAAAUAAAAAUAAAAAAUGAACAGUGUCCAGCACCCUGAAAGCACUCCGCAUGACUGAACAAUCGCUGUUAUGUAAUUACCAAUAUGAGGCCCCCACUCCUCUUGGCCAAACUGAGUUCUCUCCUCUUGUAAAAACUUCUGCAUAUGAAGUCAUCCAUUCCAUUUGACCCUUUAGCCCUCAUCCUGGCAUUCAAGGGCAUGGACAACUCAACCCCACUCUCUAAGCCAGCCUGACCUCCCCAUUCCUUUCUCUGGCACAGAGGGCCUUCUCACCACCUGCCCUUACUCCCUGCCCGCUGUUGUCAGCCUGUACUGUGUUGAAGCUCCCAGGACAGACAACUGCAGUCAUCUCUUUCCGCUGUGUUCAGUGAUGUCAGUUCGGCCCAGCUGGGGGUAUUCGCAUCAUGGAAACAGAUCAUCAGAUUUGGUAACAUACCCCGAACUGUCUCACCUCUGUGCCUUUGUACAAGCUGCUCUCUCUACCUGGAAACCUCCAUUUGUCAAGCUGCUGCUGUCUUCAAGAUCUUCCUUGUCAGAAUCUCCUGCUGUCCUCUUCUGCCACCCGCAGCAAUGUGAGCCUUCACUGGCUGGCCUUUCCUACUCACUGGAGCAGAGCUACCAGCAUCAGAAUGCCCUGGACCAGGGAUUGGAAAUACAGAUUCCUGAGUCUACACUCAAAGAUUUCUUUCUUUCUUUCUUUCUUUUUUCCUUUUUUUUUAAAUUUUAGAGACGGGGUCUUGAACUCCUGGGCUCAAGCAAUCCUCCCAUCUUAGCCUCCCAAAGUGCUGGGAUUACAGGCUGAGCCACAGCACCCAGCCCCAAAGAUUUUGAUUUAGUAGGUCUGGGAUGUCACCCUAAAUGGGCCAGCUCCUUGAAUCACAGGCCAGAGAGCUGAAUAUUAUUCUCUGUUAAAACAAAAAAAAUGUGUAUGAAAUGUAUUUGAGAAAGAUGUGGAAGGACAUACUCCAAACUGUCAACAUAGGUUGCUUUUAGCAGGGAGGGAUACACAAAAAUAAAAAUGAAAACAAGGGAGGGGAAAAUAAUUAAAAGAGCCGUCUGUGAAACAUUUCAUGUACAAUGAAAUGAUACAGUGUACAUUUUUAUAUCAGAAUGACCACAGCAGACCUUAUGAAAAGAUGGCCUCCCAAGCUGUAUCUGUAAUUAUCUCUAGGUGGUAAAUUUCAGGUGACUUUUA